rnacentral:rRNA from 1 species
UGGGGAAUUUUGGACAAUGGGCGAAAGCCUGAUCCAGCAAUGCCGCGUGUGUGAAGAAGGCCUUCGGGUUGUAAAGCACUUUUGUCCGGAAAGAAAUCCUUGGCUCUAAUACAGUCGGGGGAUGACGGUACCGGAAGAAUAAGCACCGGCUAACUACGUGCCAGCAGCCGCGGUAAUACGUAGGGUCAAGCGUUAAUCGGAAUUACUGGGCGUAAAGCGUGCGCAGGCGGUUUGCUAAGACCGAUGUGAAAUCCCCGGGCUAACCUGGGAACUGCAUUGGUGACUGGCAGGCUAGAGUAUGGCAGAGGGGGGUAGAAUUCCACGUGUAGCAGUGAAAUGCGUAGAGAUGUGGAGGAAUACCGAUGGCGAAGGCAGCCCCCUGGGCCAAUACUGACGCUCAUGCACGAAAGCGUGGGGAGCAAACAGGAUUAGAUACCCUGGUAGUCCACGCCCUAAACGAUGUCAACUAGUUGUGGGGAUUCAUUCCUUAGUAACGUAGCUAACGCGUGAAGUUGACCGCCUGGGGAGUACGGUCGCAA